AAUAAAUCUGCGGAGCAGCCCCUGUUUAGGAGCAGCUGCUGCACACCUUACGUGUCUUAAAGAAAAUUACCAAAAACACCCUACAACAAAAGCAACGUAACGGACGUUCCCUCUUUGAUUUCUCAUUGAUUUCUCAAAAUCCCUCCUGAACCUCCUUAGCCUUCGUCUUCCACAAUCUAAGCCCUCUCCACCACGACCUCAGCUCUCAGUUCCUAAUUCUACCAAAGCAAAGCCCUCAGUCCACUCAACGAGAAGCCGCCCUGAGUCCACCGACACGAAGCCCUCAGAUCUACAGGAAGAUGUUGCCUCCCAUGGCUUUGCGCAACCCUCUCUCUCGACAACUCUAAACCCUUUCUACCGGUUUCUUGCCUGUAUAUGCUUAAAGACUAAGCGCACCCUAUCGGGAAUUAUAAGGUAUAUACAUUGAAGGUUCAACAUGCAAAUGACACUGCAGCUGAGAAAUUUGGAGUCGAUCAAUUUGAGGAAUUUGAUAGUUGAUGAGUGUCACUGUAGCUGUUUUGAUAAUGGUUUAAUGUGUGGCUGUAAAUGGUUGAAUGGGUUUAGUUUUGUUUAUGGGUAAAUGUGUGCAUGUAAAAUGGUUGAAUGGGAUAUGAAAACUAUUUUUGUUUUGAGUUACUAGAGCCGAAUGGUCGGUCUUAAAGAAUACAAAUUUAUGGUGGACUUGUAAGAGUUAAUAUGUAAAUGAAAUACAAAAGUUCCUGAUCA